rnacentral:rRNA from 1 species
GGCUCAGGAUGAACGCUAGCUACAGGCUUAACACAUGCAAGUCGAGGGGAAACGACAUCGAAAGCUUGCUUUUGAUGGGCGGCGACCGGCGCACGGGUGAGUAACGCGUAUGCAACCUGCCCAUAGCAGCGGGAUAACCGGGAGAAAUUCCGACUAAUACCGCAUAUAUCUAUUUGUUGCAUGACAGAUAGAGGAAAGGAGACGGCUAUGGAUGGGCAUGCGAGGCAUUAGGUAGUUGGCGGGGUAACGGCCCACCAAGCCGACGAUGCCUAGGGGUUCUGAGAGGAAGGUCCCCCACAUUGGUACUGAGACACGGACCAAACUCCUACGGGAGGCAGCAGUGAGGAAUAUUGGUCAAUGGGCGCAAGCCUGAACCAGCCAAGUCGCGUGAAGGAAGACGGCCCUAUGGGUUGUAAACUUCUUUAGGGUGGGAACAAAGGACGCCACGUGUGGCGAGAUGAGUGUACCACCAGAAUAAGCAUCGGCUAACUCCGUG